CCUACGGGAGGCAGCAGUGGGGAAUCUUGCGCAAUGCGCGAAAGCGUGACGCAGCAACGCCGCGUGAGGGAAGACGGCCUUCGGGUUGUAAACCUCUUUCAGUUGGGACGAAGCCACGGCGGUUAAUACCCGUCUGUGGUGACGGUACCUUCAGAAGAAGCCCCGGCUAACUACGUGCCAGCAGCCGCGGUAAUACGUAGGGGGCAAGCGUUGUCCGGAAUCAUUGGGCGUAAAGCGCGUGUAGGCGGCUUGGUAAGUCCGCUCUGAAAGCCCGGGGCUCAACCCCGGGAGGCGGGUGGAUACUGUCAAGCUCGAGUCCGGAAGAGGCGAGUGGAAUUCCUGGUGUAGCGGUGAAAUGCGCAGAUAUCAGGAGGAACACCAAUGGCGAAGGCAGCUCGCUGGGACGUGACUGACGCUGAGACGCGAAAGCGUGGGGAGCAAACAGGAUUAGAUACCCUGGUAGUCCACGCCGUAAACGAUGGGCACUAGGUGUGGGGGUGUCGGAUCCCCCGUGCCGAAGCUAACGCAUAAGUGCCCGCCUGGGGNGACGCGCGAGCGAACGUAACGAAGAAGUUAGAGNGUUGAGAGNGCGACGGCGACGACGAGGAGGAGG
rnacentral:rRNA from 1 species